CGAUUUCAGACGGCCCACUCCUCCUCCCAAGGGGCGUCUGUCAGAACUGCGGCACUCCUCCUCCCAGCCGUUGUUCGGUUCUUUUCGAAAGCCUGCCGCACCUCCUCCCGCGGCAGGCUUUUUCG
rnacentral:sRNA from 1 species